rnacentral:rRNA from 1 species
GAUCCGGCUCAGGAUGAACGCUAGCUACAGGCUUAACACAUGCAAGUCGAGGGGCAGCAUGGUCUUAGCUUGCUAAGGCCGAUGGCGACCGGCGCACGGGUGAGUAACACGUAUCCAACCUGCCGUCUACUCUUGGACAGCCUUCUGAAAGGAAGAUUAAUACAAGAUGGCAUCAUGAGUCCGCACGUUCACAUGAUUAAAGGUAUUCCGGUAGACGAUGGGGAUGCGUU